AUUGUACAAAAAGACUCUAUUCAUUUAUUACUUGCAUAAUUUUAAAUAUUUGCUUUUAAUGUGAUAGAGGAGGGGCAGCAGGGAGCCUCCCUGACUCUAUCUUAUUCUCUGGAAACAGUGGUCAGAUCAGGAGUGGAACUGGCUAGAAGGCAUCUGCCCUCUCCCCCACCUCAGGCUGAGGCUUCAAGCUGUCAGGCCACUGGGUUUUGAGGCCUUCUGACCAUCAGGAGGCUACUGCAAGGCUGGGGGCUGAGGCAGGGGUGGGCACCUGGCCUGGCAGGGCAAAUACUGAAGGCAGAGCACUGGCCUGGGGUCAGAACCUUGGCUUCUAGUCCCUGGAGGCUCAGACAGCUGAGUCUCCCUUAUACCUGCUGCUGCUCUGGGUCUUGGAGGGGGAGCCAAAGAUACCCCGUCCUUGAGCCCUGUGGGGUCCUCUGCCCUGACUGCGGGGCCAGGGCUGGUGGGAGGAGGUGCCAAGGCCACCGGGGCUGCCCGGGGCCUGCAGCUGAGCGUGAAGCCUCAUCGCAGCCAGAUGUGGAGAAGUGGCCCUGACUCGGCUUCCCAUCUCAAGGCCAGGGCUCCCCAGGGGCCCCAGAUGCAGACGGCCAGGACGUGUUUCCCAAGCCACGGGGGAGCCCCACUCCCGAGACCGGCCCGCCUGUCCCCGCGGCACCGAUCCACCGGACACUGGAAGCGGCCACACGGUCGCCGGAGAAGCGGCGCGGAGGCUGCCGGCACCGGGGAGCCGCCUCCCACAGCGCCGCAGGCCCCGAGCGCGUCCCCGCGGAGGAGCACUGAUUCCGUCAAGGUGCUGCCACGUCACACAGGCUCUGGCCUCUCCUGGUUGCAGGAAACCCUGUGUUUCUUUACGUCAACACUUGCCGUGACCUUUCGCACGCCGCGCCACACGGCGACGCCACGUGCAGGUGGACGGAGUGCAGCUUUCACCACAGAUGUGCUGACUCAGGAGCCCUCCUCCACCAGAGCGUCUCUCGGGCCAGGGAGCCGCGGAACGGCCACAUCUCAUCCAUCCGCCAGUGCCAGGGGCUCAACCUUUACAUCUGCAUGGAAUCAGACCGGGGCUGAUCACGCUGACAGCCCCCUCCUCAUCCAAGCUGCCAUGUUGUCUGACUUGAGCCUCUAGUACCCUCGGCACCUGGAACGGCCCUCCAUUAAUACUUGCCGAGUGUGGAGUGAAUGAAUGACGCUGUCCCACCUGCUGGAGUUCCCCG